GAUCAUGGCUCAGGAUGAACGCUAGCGGCAGGCUUAACACAUGCAAGUCGAGGGGUAUUGGUUUUCGGACCAAGAGACCGGCGCACGGGUGCGUAACGCGUAUGCAAUCUACCUUUGCAGAGGGAUAGCCCAGAGAAAUUUGGAUUAAUACCUCAUAGUAUAGUACUUUGGCAUCAAGGAACUAUUAAAGUCACAACGGCAAAAGAUGAGCAUGCGUCCCAUUAGCUAGUUGGUAAGGUAACGGCUUACCAAGGCUACGAUGGGUAGGGGUCCUGAGAGGGAGAUCCCCCACACUGGUACUGAGACACGGACCAGACUCCUACGGGAGGCAGCAGUGAGGAAUAUUGGACAAUGGGCGCAAGCCUGAUCCAGCCAUGCCGCGUGCAGGAUGACGGUCCUAUGGAUUGUAAACUGCUUUUAUACAGGAAGAAACACUCCGACGUGUCGGAGCUUGACGGUACUGUAAGAAUAAGGAUCGGCUAACUCCGUG
rnacentral:rRNA from 1 species